rnacentral:rRNA from 1 species
UACGGGGGGGGCAAGCGUUGUUCGGAAUUACUGGGCGUAAAGGGCCAGUAGGCGGCCAACUAAGUCGGAUGUGAAAUCCCCAGGCUCAACUUGGGAACUGCAUCCGAUACUGGAUGGCUUGAAUUCGGGAGAGGGAUGCAGAAUUCCAGGUGUAGCGGUGAAAUGCGUAGAUAUCUGGAGGAACACCGGUGGCGAAGGCGGCAUCCUGGACCGAUACUGACGCUGAGGAGCGAAAGCCAGGGGAGCAAACGGG